AUGAGAGGACCUGGACAUUUCUAGACGGGUCAGACAACUCCAGCCACAUACCUCCCCAAGGGCAAGGGAGAGUGAAGGAGCUGACGGCUCGCUAUCUGUCUCGGACAGCUGCCCCCGCUGCUCACAGAGGCCUCGCGCAGCCUCAUACCACAAAGGCUAGCAUCAUUCGUUCUCCUGACAGCCAGAAAGCAAGCAAGUCCAUGACGAAGGAAGUAUGUUCCUCCUGCCUUCGGCCUGUCUAUUCUAUGGAGCUGGUGGUUGUUGAUCAGGCCCUUCUGCACAGCUCAUGUUUCAGCUGCAAGGUCUGCGGGAAAAAGCUCAGCCUGCAUAAUUACACUGCCCUCCACGGUGCGUUCUGCUGCAAAGGCCUUUGCAAGCUGCUUGCCAAAGCUAGAAGAGGAAAUGAGAAGGAAAGAUUCGUUUACAGACAUAAACACCAGCCCCGGCAGGCAAUGGCAAUAGCCGGUCUAAGGUCAGAGCCCCAGGGCAGAUAUAGUAGAGCUGGAGAAGAGGCUGUGGAGAGAUCAUCUGAGUCACAUUCAGAGCUCAGCUUGGAGCCAGCUUGCCAAAUGAAAGGACCCAAGAGUGAAUUUGCCUCCUUGAGAAACCAGCUCGAAACUAGCUGGCCACCCUUGGGAAAAGCAGACAGAAGCGCCCACAAACCUAGGAAGAGCGAAUGGCUCUGGGAAAAGACUGCAUUGAACUGGCGAAGGCUUGAGACGCCAGAGGGAAAACCCAUUGCAGAUACCGCAGUGAGAAAGAAACCAAAACAGCUACCGAGCAUCGCCGUUUCGGAGAAGGAAGAGCGUGGGCCCCCCGGGAGCAAAGCGGGAAAGGUGAGGGGCGGAAACAAGAAGCUGGGGUGUGUGGAUGGAAACGUGCCCAGACAUCCCGGAGGGAAGCAAGGGAGCAGAGUAUCGGAGAAGGCGGCUGUCUUCCAGCAGGGCCAAGCCAACCCAAAGGAGAGGAGUGCUCCCGCUGUUUCACCUUCAACACUGCAACCUGUGAAACCACCAGUUUACGGCUCAGCCGGCUCCCGGUCCAGGGUGCUGGGAGCCACUUCGGGCACCAGCUGGGCCUCUGCAAUACCUCUCCAGGCUGGUGCUCUCUCUGCAGCAGAGCUUGCUCCUACAGGUAACAAGCUUCACGUCUCAGGGUCCAGCGAGGGGGUCUUUAAUGCAGGACCUAUAACUCUGAGCCGUCGGGGCACCAGACCGCUUCCCCGAGUGACAGGGAACCUGCCAGAGCAGCCACCACCCACUGUACCUACCCCACAGGACAGGCAGCACCCCCAAGAAGGGAGCAGCGGUAAGUUGGCCGCUCACGUAGCAGGAGAGGCUGAAGUAGGCAGCGUCAAAACCAUGCCACCGUGCAGAGGUACCCACCACCCAAGCAGAGCUGAGGGCUCUCUUUCCUCCCAUUGUGGAGCCCAGACACACGUAGCUGAGCAUGAUGCUGUCCAAAGUGAUGAAGCUCCAUGCCGCUCCGAGGAACCAGCAACACCUCACACAGAGGUCAGUUCACUCGAGCCUGAAGUUUUGGCUCAGUUGUACCAGGCAGCUGAGCAGGUCCAUGAGGAUUCGGAGACGGCCAACCAAGAGCUCCCUGGAGUGCUUAUGCCAAGACCUUCCCAGACAAACUUGCAAGGAUCUAGGAAAAACGUGUCGGCUGGAAUUAAAAGCAGCGAGCCAGAGGUUGAGACCAAAACGCAGCCGAAGAACACAUCAGAGUCCUACAAGAUCCUGAAAUAUAGUCCUGGGCAUAGGUCUCAGGAAAGUAAACCAGAAGAAAGAGCCAUUUCUCCAUGUGGACAGGCCCAGAUUACAGGGGAUGAGACUGCACCCUGCCUACAAGCGGCAGAAUCUCAAUACACGUGCGGCCCACCAGCAGACAGCCUGCAAGGGGAUGCUUUGCUGGGUAAUAUUGCAUUGUCUGCUAAGGACAUUUCAGAACCAGGGGACACACGUCCAAAAGCAGUCAGUGCAACAGGGGACUCGCAUGACAAGACGACUGGAAAAGGAGGAACCAAGCUCAAGUUACAGGGUCCAGAUGACAUGCGAGGGAGCAUCCUUCUUGUCUCUGAGCCACCCAGCAAGAUGCUUGAACCUUUGAAAUCGAAGGAAUCAUCAGAGAAACCUGAAUAUCACUUAGCUGGAAAUGGUAUUGUGGGUGUGAAACCUCAGUAUGAAGGUGAGUCACACUCCCCUGCUAGUGCUCCCCAAACCAAAGACACCGGAAACAGAAAGCCUGGAAAAGAGACACCAGCAAAAGCUUCCAGUCUGGGGAAAAAUCACUUUGCUGGGCCUUUUGCUUCUGAAAAUAAGAGCAGCACCCCAAGGAAAGAGCUAAAAGGGAGAAAGAAACCCACAAAGCCCCAGUCUGCCUUGGCCACAUUAUUUGGCUAUUGCUCAGAUAAAGAUCAGAAUCAAAAGGGAAUUCUCACCCCAAAAUCCUCGCCAAAGCUUUCAGAGGAAAAAAAUGAUCGAGAAUCAUGGUCACAGAUCACCGACUCAACCUCAUCAAGGCAAAAGGCCUCCGAGGAUGAGGCUGUAGCUCCCAUUGAAAGAGCAGUGGCAACUUCCAAAAAUACAAAGCAAAAUUCAGGGGCCCAUGUGGGAUCUGGGCAAAGAGAGAGUCCUCCACAUUUACGCAGCACUGAGGUCUUAGAGUCCCAGGUGCUUGUGCUGAUGCCUGGUGAAAGCAGUCCAGCCCGUCCUGGAAAUGUUGAUGAGGUCCCUGGUCUUGGAGUUGAAAGCCAACCUGAUUUCAAGGCGCAGGCUCUACAACAGCAUGGCGAUAGCUGUCUGCCUCCAGUUCUGUCGACGGCAUCUCUGAAAGGAGCUCCAGAAACCUUCAAAGGCAGAACUAGCCUUUUACAGUCUCCUCUGGCACCAAUUGCCCCAGACGAUGCUAGCCUAAGUCUCACCAGCAAAGAAAGUCUCCAUGACACAUGUCUACGUGAAAAACAAAACCUAACGGGCUUGGGUGAUCACAACUUGACACCGAAGGAUGAAACCUUUUCUUCAUCGAACCACUUAAAGGAAUCACGUGAGGAAUCUGAGCUUUGCUUAGGAGGCAGGGAUCUUUUAGAGCUCAAUAACCUCUUGUUGCCUGUAGCAGACAGCAAUUCAACAAGCAUCAGCAAAAGAGUCCCUGGCAUCGAUGACCCAGAUGCCCAGUUCCCACCUGAAAGAGCCCUGCAAAAUUCACAAGGCAAGAAACAACCGUCUUUCAGUGUAAGCACCUCAGAACCGCACAAGGAAAAUCCAGGGCAAAAACAUGACCUAGCAGAGGAGGGUCAAAUUAUUCAACUUACUGGUGACAUUCAGAGCUCCCAACUGCUGCAACAGCUCGAUCUGCAGCCCCAACUCCAGAAGGAUGCAUGGGAUCCCUUUGGACUGGGUGUCAAUGCUGGAGAACCCAUUGCUGACCCUUUCCUUUCUUGUGGAGCCAACUUCCAACCGCCGUCCGCAUCAACUCCCGAGCCCUUUAACGACCACACCGUGGAGAUGCGGGACGCCGAGACAGCAGCAGCAGCACCCCUGCAAGCUUCAGUGACAGCAGGAAAAAGCAACCCAGCAUCAGAUCUCCCUUAG
ensembl:lncRNA